rnacentral:rRNA from 1 species
CGCUCUUUGGUAAAAUAAAGAGUCUUACCUGCCCACUGAAGUUAAUAUAAAGGGCCGCGGUAUUUUGACCGUGCAAAGGUAGCAUAAUCAUUAGUCUUCUAAUUAAAGGCUGGAAUGAAUGGUUGGACGAGGUAUUAGCUGUCUCAUUAAAAUUGCCCAUAAAUUAACUUUUUAGUCAAAAGGCUGAAAUAAAGUUAGAGGACGAGAAGACCCUAUAGAACUUGAUGUUGGAUUUAUUUUAUUUAUUUGGGCGGUUUAUAGUUUUAUAAAAUAAGCAUUUUGUUGGGGUGACAGGAAGAUAUAAUAAACUCUUCUUAAAUAAAACCAUUUAUAUAUGAUUUACAUGAUCCAUUAUUAUGAUUACAAGACUAAGUUACCUUAGGGAUAACAGCGUAAUCUUUUUUGAGAGUUCUAAUCGACAAAAAGGGUUGCGACCUCGAUGUUGGACUAAGGGUUAUUCUUGGGUGUAGAAGUUCAAGGUUUAGGUCUGUUCGACCUUUGAAUCCUUACAUGAU